UGCCGGUUUCCUCCCUACUUUGUGCUUGCUCCUCCAUCUCUUUCUUCUUCAGCCACCCCUAUCUUUCUCAGUACUCUUGAGGAUGUUUUUCUGCUCAAAUUCAUUCCUCAAAGGUACGUCCACUGUGCAAGGAGGAAUAUUCAAAAAGGCCGUGGUACAGUUUGGUUUUCCAUUAUCUCUUGGUUUGAUUAGGGACGUCCGUACAAAACCCUCACAACUCCAGCAGCAGCAGCACUAUGGAAGUGGCUCAGAGUACGUGGUUGAUGCUAGCGAGGAAUUUCGAGGUGUCCACCGGUAAUGGGAGAGCUUUUAAUUAAGUUGACUCUCGAGUCUAUUAACAAAGAGUCUGUAUUGUUUCGGCGAGGGGUUUCUCUUUGUAUGCAGCAUGCGAUGCUUCCUGUUUUUGGCGAGAAUUGCUACGUAAAUGAAAAUAUAGUUCUAAGUUUGAAAAAUAUUUUAAGCAGAGUUUUUAUCUUAAAAAAAAGAUAUUGUUGUAUAAAUAGUGCAGAUUUGAGAUCAUGUAAAGCAUAUUCAAUAAGGACGUGUUAGAGAAUA